CCGGAAGAGAGGUAAUAGGGUGAUAAAUCCUACCAAAUCAGGAAGAUCUCCCCUCUCUCCUCCCCUAGGGCAUCAACCGAGGGCCUACACACACACACACAAAAAAAAAAAAAAAGAGAGAGAAGGGAGAUUGGGUUUUACCUUGCCGCGGGAGGAACCGGAGCGGUCGCCGUCGAUCCGGCCGGGAGGAGCUCGCCGGAGGCAAGGGGAACAAUCUGUUGGACGAGAGGACGUUGAGCGGGAUUCUAUGCAUUCCGGUUCUUUAUCGCCGUGAAGGCGGGUGAUUGGUUGUCUAAAUUUUCAACAAAGAGUUGCAGGAUGCUUAGAUUUGGAUGGGAUGGGCGCAGAGUGCAAGUAUCAGAGCUAGUUAGUUUGUUUGUACUUCUUUGAUGUCGAUGAACAUUUGAAGAUCUUGUAAUUGAACUAAUUUGUUUAUUUGGACAUGUUGGACUGCUCUACUUGAAUUACUAGAUUAA